ACAUUGUUAGUAUAAUAUAAUAUGUUACUUUUCCAAAGUAAAAAUCUACGAUUGUAGACAAUGUA
rnacentral:tRNA from 1 species